UGGAGUCUGCAACUCGACUCCAUGAAGCUGGAUUCGCUAGUAAUCGCGCAUCAGCCAUGGCGCGGUGAAUACGUUCCCGGGCCUUGUACACACCGCCCGUCAAGCCAUGGAAGCCGGGAGUGCCUGAAGUGUGCAACCGCAAGGAGCGCCCUAAGGUAAAACUGGUGACUGGGGCUAAGUCGUAACAAGGUACC
rnacentral:rRNA from 1 species